UCCUCCCGCGAAUCUCAGCCUCUGGCACCAGGGCCGCUCCGUCCGUGCUCCGCCUCGCCACGACUUCCUACUGCUACAGCCAGUCGUCCGCAAAGUCGUCCUUCGGGGGCCUGGGCGGCGGCUCCGUGAGUUUGGGGCCAGGGGUCGCCUUUUGCGCGCCCAGCAUGCACUGGGGCCGGCGGCCGCGGCGCGUCCGUGUCCUCCGCCCGCUUCGUGUCUGUCCUCGUCCUCCUUGGGGGGCUACAGCGGCGUCCCGGCCGCGUCCGACCGGCUGCUGGAGGGCAACGAGAAGCUCACUAUGCAGAACCUCAACGACCGCCUGGCCUCCUACCUGGACAAGGUGCGCGCCCUGGAGGCUGCCAACUGCGAGCUGGAGGUGAAGAUCCGCGACUGGUACCAGAAGCAGGGUCCCGGGCCCUCCCGUGACUACAGCCACUACUACAAGACCAUCCAGGACCUGCAGGACAAGCUUCUUGGUGCCACCAUUGAGAACUCCAGGAUUGUCCUGGAGAUCGACAACGCCCGUCUGGCUGCAGAUAACUUCCGAACCAAGACUGACACGGAGCAGGUUCUGCGCAUGACCGUGGAGGCCGACAUCAACGGCCUGCGCAGGGUGCUGGGCGAGCUGACCCUGGCCAGUACCGUCCUGGAGAUGCAGAUUGAAGGCCUGAAGGAAGAGCUGGCCUACCUGAAGAAGAACCAUGAAGAGGAAAUCAGUGGGCUGAGGGGCCAAGUGGGAGGCCAGGUCAGUGUGGAGGUGGAUUCUGCUCGGGGCACCGAUCUCGCCAGGAUCUUGAGUGACAUGCGAAGCCAAUACAAGGUCAUGGCGGAGCAGAACUGGAAGGAUGCUGAAGCCUGGUUCACCAGCCGGACUGAAGAACUGAACCGAGAGGUCGCUGGCCACACGGAUCAGCUCCAGAUGAGCCUGUCCAAGGUGACUGACCUGCGGCACACCCUCCAGGGUCUUGAGCUGCAGUCACAGCUGAGCAUGAAAGCCACCUUGGAAGGCACACUGGCAGAAACGGAGGCGCGCGUUGGAGCCCAGCUGGCGCAGAUCCAGUCGCUGAUCAACGGUAUUGAAGUCCAGCUGGGCGAUGUGCGAGCUGAUAGUGAGCGGCAAAAUCAGGAGUACCAGCAGUUCACGGACAACAAGUCGCGGCUGCAGCAGGAGAUCGCCACCUACCGCAGCCUGCUCGAGGGCCAGGAAUAUCACUACAAUAAUCUUUCUGCCUCCAAGGUCCUCUGAGGCAGCAGGCUAAGGGGCUUCUGCUGUCCUUCGGAGGGUGCCUCCUGGGUGGGAGGAUGGGAACGAAGGUACCCUUAUCCCCUGCUCUUCCCCUGAUCUGCCAAUAAAAUUUUAUGGUCCAAGGG